rnacentral:rRNA from 1 species
UACGUAGGGGGCGAGCGUUGUCCGGAUUUAUUGGGCGUAAAGAGCGUGUAGGCGGCCAAGCAGGUCCGCUGUGAAAACUCGAGGCUCAACCUCGAGACGUCGGUGGAAACCGUUUGGCUAGAGUCCGGAAGAGGAGAGUGGAAUUCCCGGUGUAGCGGUGAAAUGCGCAGAUAUCGGGAAGAACACCCGUGGCGAAGGCGGCUCUCUGGGCCUUACCUGACGCUGAGGAGCGAAAGCGUGGGGAGCGAACAGG